rnacentral:rRNA from 1 species
CGUAGCCGCGGUAAUACGGAGGGUGCAAGCGUUAUCCGGAUUUAUUGGGUUUAAAGGGUCCGUAGGCGGACUUAUAAGUCAGUGGUGAAAGCCUGUCGCUUAACGAUAGAACUGCCAUUGAUACUGUAAGUCUUGAGUAUAUUUGAGGUAGCUGGAAUAAGUAGUGUAGCGGUGAAAUGCAUAGAUAUUACUUAGAACACCAAUUGCGAAGGCAGGUUACCAAGAUAUAACUGACGCUGAGGGACGAAAGCGUGGGUAGCGAACAGGAUUAGAUACCCCCGUAGUCCCUGUCUCUUAUACA